CCUGUGAUGCCUGCCAGCACAUGUCUUUCUCAGAGGUGGGCAUAUUCUCUAUUUGGGAAACAAUGGGUAGAGGGAUUGAAGCAGGAGAAGUUUCAGAGAAUCACUCUUGCAAGAGAUGCUGCACUCUGGCAGACUCGAUAAUGACAAAUAUGUCAAGCAACUGAGUUUCAGCAGGGUUCCUUCGGGCCUUGUUCACCAACUUGUGGUUUCCGUGGUGACAGGACAGCUGCCAGGUAGAUGGCGGCUUUGGGGCCACCUGACUGGCUCUGACGAUAACUGGCUUUGACAGCUUUGAUUGGAAUGAAAAGAUUUAGGGUCCCUACUGGCUUUCUUAAAUUAAACCCUCCCUCCUGGAGUUAGCUUGUUUAUCAACAUUAUCUUAGAUUAGGGGACUUUCUUGUGAUCAGAGAGUUCUUUUACCACGAUGGUUCACAUGUUGGGGCCACUGGCAGGGUUUCUGAGAUCAGGGUCCUCGGAGCAGCACAGAGAGGUAAGGCUACACCCUGAUGUGCUUCUCAGGCAAUGCCUCCAAGGGGCAUGUUAACAGUCAGAUCUAGUUAGGAAAGAAAACAGGAAAAGGACCUGCAUUUUAACAGAAAUAAUUUAAUCUAGGCAAUUGAGUAAGCAGGUAUUAGAGGCUGAAAGGCAAAAAGGAAGUAUCAAGAUAAACACAGGGAUGGUAACUGCCAGAGGCAGCUCUACCUCUGGGGCUGAAGAACACAGGGAAGAUACUGGGGUUGCAAUAAUUUCAAAGCUUGGAAGAGGAGCCCUGCGGAGCUGGGACCUAGGCUUCUAAGGAGCGGCGACUGCACAGUAUCUGUGAGGCUGGAUUUGAGAGUCCAGAAAAUGUUGAAGACUGGAACCCAUUGCUAUUGAGGUAAAUAACAUCUUUGUGUGGCGUGUUGCAGCUGUCACAGCCGCCAGCAGACAGCCGACUCCCUCACCAGUAAACACCGCGGCUUAGGUGUUGCCCACCGGGCACCGGAAGGCGGCCCCCUUCUCGCUCUCCAGUGAAUGUUCCUAAAACAACUGCGGGGUCCAAGAGCACAGGGAGAACAGCGCCCCUGACGCAGGCUGCGCACCCGCCCGGAGGAGGCAGUGCGUCAGUCCUGAGGUCACCGCCACCCGCUCCCGGGGGACGGCCGCCUGGGCAGGUGAGGAGGCGACCACCUCCCAGACGCCUGCCGGAGCUGCGGCGCACCGACUCCCUGCUUCUCCGAGCGGCGAGCGCCACCUGGAGGCUCCCUCGAGAUCUGCAUUUAGGAGGCGACGGGUCCUUUCAUCGUUUUAUUCAUUAAACAUUUAUCGAGGCCUGGAGCGAUGGUUCAAGCCUGUAAUCCCAGCACUUUGGGAGACCGAGACGGGCGGAUCACUUGAGGUCAGGAGUUGGAGACCAGCCUGGCCAACAUGGCGAAACCCCAUCUCUACUAAAAAUACAAAAAUUAGCCGGGCACGGUGGCGCACACCUGUAAUCCCAGCUACUCAUGAUGAGGCUGAGGCACAAGAAUCGCUUGAACCCGAGAGGCGGAAGUUGCAGUGAGCGGAGAUGGAGCCACUGUGUGUUAGGCUCUGGCGACGUGGGGAGAAAUAAAGAUAAUGUCUUGUUUCCCAGGGCAUUAAUAGCGUGAUGGGGAAGACAGGCCAUCAACAAUGUGCAACACUAAGGGCUAGGAAAGAGGUGGAUACAAAGGAGGGAAUAAGGAAUGUGGUCAUUCCUUAAGGUGUUUAUUGGUGCCAGGUACUGUUCAAGGCACCAAAAAGAAUGGAACCAAACAGAGAUCCUGCUCCCAAAGAGCUCAUAGUGGAAGGACAGCCAGACAAGCUUAGAAUUACGGGACAGGCCUAAGAAGGAGCCAGACUGGGGACCAGAGGCGUCCGAAGGGAAGUCCAGGAAGUACCGCAGGAAAACGUGAUAUAUAUUAAAUCUUAAAGAAUGGGCAGGAUUUUGCCAGGCUUAGUGACAAGAUAUCUUCCGUAAAAUCGUGGAACUGAAAAGAAAGGAUAUAGGUUGAAGAAGGGCUAGUUCUGUGUCUGAAAUAGAAGGAACAUGAAAGAGAAGUGCUGGGACAUGGGGCAAAAAAGGGAGUUUGGGGCCAGAUCGUGAAAGCCUUGGUUUAACAGGUGAAAAGUUCAAAUUUGAUCCAGGUAGCUGGCAGAGUCAGAGGUUCUAAAGCAGAGACCUGCUCUAUAGAAAGCUCACCAUGAAGUACAGCAGUGAUGGUGGAUGAAGAUACCAACAGCUCAACCUCCUAUGUGCCAGGGAAAUGCUGAGCGCUUAGCACCUGAUAUUUAUCUUAAUUCUCUAAAUGGGCCUAUGGGGUAAGCAUAUUAUUAUCCCAAUUUUAUUGGAAUACUUCCCUGGUAGGGCCCCUAAACAGGUAGCCAUCAAAUGCCUGAUAAAUUCCAGCUAGCUUUAAAUUCUAGUCGCUACAGAGCAGAGCCCUUCCAUCGCACUGAGCUGAAGGAGCCAGAUGGGCAUUACAGACAAGACCCACUCAGUAGGUGAAAUCAACAGAGCCUAAUGACUAUCUAGAUCUGCAAGAUGAAGAAUAGGAAAGAGCUAAAGACAAGAUUAUGAUGAAAAGUUUGAUUUUGAAAUAAUACAUUUUUAAGAGCUGAGAAAAACCGUAUCCAUCAUCCAGAACAACCGCCUAUUCUACCCACACUCCCAGCACCACAUCAGUACACGUGUGCCUGUACUCACCAUUCUGCCUUGCCUCCUGCUGGCAUGGACGAGUGCUGCGUGUUCCUAAGUGCCACCUUCCGCUGUGCACUCGAUCCCAUCCUCGCGCCCAC
rnacentral:lncRNA from 1 species